rnacentral:lncRNA from 1 species
AUUUUUUGUAUUUAAACAAUAUUUUUUUCUUUCAGGUCGUCCACCGCCAUGCUGUGCUUGCGUCCGAGCACCGUGUAAUUGUCCACCAUGCAGUCCACCCUGGCCAACAUACAAACCACGACGACGAUAUCCUCAUUACGGAUAAACUUAUUUUUACAAAAAUCUGAUUAAAUAAUUUGAUUAUUUGAGUUUACAAAAUAGUUAGAAGGC